CUUCAUAAAUAAAGGGGAGGAACUUUAACAGAAGCCUUGGAAUUAAUCGUGGCUGAACACGAUGAUUUCUUGGCUGGCAUCUUUUGCAGGGGAUGGGUUGGGAACCCCUGCAUGGCUGGAGCCCUGGCAGAGAGCAGACAGGGCGUCAGAGCAGUGGCAUCACAGGAGCCUGCAUCUUGGAGACACGUGAGGGCUCAGAGCUUGGGGACGAGACAGUUAAUGCCUCCCCGUGCGAGCGAGUUAUAUCACACAGCGCCAGUGCGAGGUCAGCAGUCUGGCUGGAGCCCGAACGGGGCUGAGUGUGCCAAGCGAUGCCAGGCACCCAGGCAGCCCUGGAGAGGGUUUCCACAUCUAGGUUUUGUUCCGCAGCUUGGAAGAGGCUUUGACGAUCGCUUGGAGAAGGGAAAUAUGAAGCUUCAUCCGUGAUUCCCAGACCAGCCACUUUGGAGCACGGACCUCUCCCAGCUGGAGCCCACUGCUGCUGGGACAAAGGGAGCCCUGGCUGAGACCCAGCUCAGUUUCAGGGUGGAGCGCAUCCAGCACUCGGUCAGGAAGACUCACUCCAGCCAGCGCUGAGGGUGCUGACCUGCUGGGCUCCACCAGCAUCUGCAUCAGGCGGUGUGCCUUCUCUCUGGCUGGUCCUGCUUCCUGGACACACUGUCUUCUUGAGAGGAUUUCUUCUGACUUAGGAUGGCUCACCUUAUUUUCUGACGUUAUGACAUGCAUGCAGUAUAAACGGCACAUGAAGUUUGAAUUUUGAUUUUUUUCCACGGUGAGCGACAUGCUGUGAGAAACCCUCUGGUGAUGCUGGGCAGGGACAGUCCCAGCUCCUGUGAGCCAUGUGAUCCAAAGGCAAAACACCUACAAAGAUACCCAUCUGAUUGUUAUAUCCUGUAUUUGAGCUCUUGCAGCUGGACAGGCUGCAAAAUCAACUGGGAGCUGUUCUAGGCCCAAGGGAGCAGAACCAAUAUGCUGCUGCAGAUGUAGAGGGCAGCCCUGGAAGGGGAACUAUCAUGAGUUUGAACAAACUUUGGAAGACGGUGAAGGGCAGGCAAGUCUGGCAUGCUGCAGGCCAUGAAGUCACAGUCAGACAUGAUUGAAUAACAACACCAUGCUGGGAAAUGGAGGAAGGUAAAUGGUGGAGCUGAGAUUAAACCAUGCCUGUGUGAAUCCAAGCCUUAGAUCUUGGCGACUCUGCGAUAUUGGGGAUUUCAGACCUGAAAGAGCGCUUCCAUGCCACCCUCUCUAACUUCUUCUUGGACAGAUGGAGGAACCCAAGACACACAGCUAGGGACAAAGCCAAGCUUAGGAACCAGGUUUCCAGCCACCCAGACUAAUGUUCUAACUACAAGGAGUUGCCAAAUGCAAAUUCCAUGCACACAGCUUGGUCCGUUUUCUGUUCUUUCUUCAUAAAGGAUCAUCUUCCUGUGGAGUCUGAGUUGUCUGUGUGUCCACAGUGACCACUGAUGGGGAAUGCCAUUCCACUGAAAGUGCCUCUCAGGACUGUCCAGGGACCACCAGCAGAGAAGAGCUCAGGUUGCAGCCACUCUCCAGGCUGGAACAAUUGUGCUACCCAGCCGUUCCUCACAUCUUGUUUCUUUAGCACCGGGAUAGGAUGGGUAAUCAAAGGUGACAAGCUUCCUCUGCUCCUCUGGUGCCUCUCGCUAUGCAGGCCGGCCACAUGCACAUGAAUCUGCAGAGGCAGCUGCUGCGAGUCUCAGAUGCAGAAGCUCUGAGCCACGUGGGGCUUCAUCACGUUGCUGCGAGGAAGGAAGGAACGGCAUCGGUUAUCACAUUAUUGGAAGGAAGGAACAUGUUUGCAGCUAGCAGAGAAGAAAGAAAGUUCUGCCAACAUGAGAUUAAAUCACUUUGAGUUUGUGUAACUGAUUUGGUCUGCAUCUCUUUUAAGGAUGCUUCUCUGGUACUCAGAUACGGGAAUGGCAGAGCAAGCCCAUCCCAUGGAGGCUGGCCCACUUGAAAUUUUUUGUUCCCUGCCAUUGGCGGAGGCUCUGAGAAGCUAAAGGGGUUCAAGUACAAGUGACAAUAACCUAAAUGCUGUGUGAUGAAGGAGGUCAGCACAGAAAGGAUGGAUGCCCUUCUCUUUGUUUCUGGUGAAUUGUAAACUACUUUUUGGAAUAAAAGUCAACAAAGGGAGCGAAAGAAAUCUAUCCAGAUAUAUGCAUCUGCCAUGUGUCAGGGUCUUCAUACACCUUGUCUUUAAACCCAUCCAUCUGCCUUGCAUGAGGGAUGUUUGUUACCAUUUAAAUAAGGAGUAGAUAAAUCUGGGAGAGACGAGCCAGCUUGCCAAAGCUCACACGCCCCAUCAAGCAGAGAGAGCCCGAAGGGAGGUGUCAUGGGGUUGACGAUAAUGAUAGUCAUGACUCGUUUCCUUGUGUCGUGUUUCCCAAAACUUCCUGUAAGAUGACUUUGAGUAAGGUUGGGUUCUCACCACUUUUUAGGAUGAUUGGUAACUCUAAACUUUUUUCUCCUGUAAAAUAUGAUUUUGUUUUGCUCCUAAACAGGUGUGGCUUGGGGAAACAUCUUCUGUUUCCAUCAGGGCGUAUGUGAUCAUUUGAUGGGUGUGCAGGAUGAUCCGUGGAGCCCCUUGAGUCUGAUCUCCUACUCUGCAUCCAAGACCUGGUUUCUUAUUUAUGUCUUAGGUCUUGGCCACACUCUUGGAUUUAGGAUUUCUGAUUUGCACUUCUAACAGAGAUUAGGAUGUUCAGUACUACAUCUGUCAAUUUGUCAUUGUCUUCAAAAUCUCAGGCCCAGCAUGACAGCUCAUAGUGAGCUCUUGUUUUGAACAUAGACCCUCCCCUGCCCAUUAAGUCCUUCUCCCCACUCCCACCCGCUGAUGUGACAUAUACCUCAUGAUCAAAGUGUGGAUUCCAGAGCAUGCACCUGUAAUAAGAAUAACAUUGUUCAUUCCUUGUCCUAGAAGAUACAAAAGGUACCAGAAGGCUAAAAAUUUGGUUUUCAGAAAGAAACAAGAAAAAAAAAUAAUCAAUUUCAGAAAGAAAAGACUUGUCAAGGCAAUUUCUUGCAAGAGCAAACCUUUCAUUAGAAAUCAAGUUAGGUCUAGUUUUGAAGGCGUGG